ACAUAGUGAAACUUUCCAUUUU
rnacentral:snRNA from 1 species